UUAGAUCCCCUUGACCUGAGCGCCGUUCCCUCUGUUUUCUUUCUUCCUAAGCUCUCAUCUUCUAGCAUUGCCGUUCCCCCUUAACCAGCUAAUGGCAUUAAAUCUUUGCAAAACCAAAAUUAUAAUAAAAAACCAUAAGCACCCAAUAACCCCAAAGGAGAGCAAAUGGAAGAAAAGCAGAAAGCAAAAGAAAUUACCUUGGAAGGUCACAAUCGUUGGGUUGCCAUUUCCAGUAAAGAUAGUCAAGAUUCUUCCUCCCAUACUUUUGACAAGCCAUUCCAUCAUCCAUAAACGAUCAAUUUGUCCCAUUAUAAAGAGGGCGAGACUGAUUAUCAAAUACCCAUUUGCCAAAAAAAGCUGAAACCGUUUGGAUUCGAAAUUCGUAAAAAAACUGUGGAUUCGAAAUAAAAGCUGUGAAAUUCGUAAACGGCCUCUAACUGAAACCUCGUAAAAAAAAAGCCGUGGAUUCGAAAUUCCAAAAAUCAGAUCUGAAACCGUUUGGAUUCGAAAUUGUUUCUGCUGUGGAUUCGAAAUAAUUUCUGCUGCAUUCGAAAUAAUUCUGCUGUAUCGCUUGGAUUCUCAUUGUUUGAUUAGGAAACAUGCUUUCAUAUGUUUCAAGGUCAGCUGGCCAAUCUUCUUUGCUAGUGGUACUUUCUCCAUUCCCCGGUCUCGUGAGCCUUCCCAUGUGCCGACGAUGAAGGUUCUAGGAGUGGAGAUGGAGAUGAUGCUAGAUAAAAAACUCAUUGAAUGGAUCUUGAGUAGCAGAUUUAACCAUCAAUGAAGCUAUUUUUGUUGGCUUCCUCUUUCGUCGUCAUAGAAGCUGCUGGGUGGAAAUCGUUUUGUAACAAUAGGAGGAUUAACUAGCUAUAAUGUUAUAGCUUUAUUUCUGAUUUCAUGAGUUUUCUUGUAUCAAUUUGUAACUGGGUGAAACCUUUUCACUUGGGUAGUACAUCUUGAGUCACAAGUGCCUUAUUCAUGUUGAUUAGUUCAAUGUAAUAUUACUGCUUCGGACGUGAAAUCAAUUGCAAUGACUUAGUCCAGUAAUACGGUUCUUAUUCGCUAUGUUAAAAUUUGUUACUAACAGUCGCUAUCUGAUUGCUAAAUUUUCAAACUUUUCUUGG